rnacentral:rRNA from 1 species
ACGCUGGCGGCAGGCCUAACACAUGCAAGUCGAGCGGUAGAGAGAAGCUUGCUUCUCUUGAGAGCGGCGGACGGGUGAGUAAUGCCUAGGAAUCUGCCUGGUAGUGGGGGAUAACGUUCGGAAACGGACGCUAAUACCGCAUACGUCCUACGGGAGAAAGCAGGGGACCUUCGGGCCUUGCGCUAUCAGAUGAGCCUAGGUCGGAUUAGCUAGUUGGUGAGGUAAUGGCUCACCAAGGCGACGAUCCGUAACUGGUCUGAGAGGAUGAUCAGUCACACUGGAACUGAGACACGGUCCAGACUCCUACGGGAGGCAGCAGUGGGGAAUAUUGGACAAUGGGCGAAAGCCUGAUCCAGCCAUGCCGCGUGUGUGAAGAAGGUCUUCGGAUUGUAAAGCACUUUAAGUUGGGAGGAAGGGCAUUAACCUAAUACGUUAGUGUUUUGACGUUGCCGACAGAAUAAGCACCGGCUAACUCUGUGCCAGCAGCCGCGGUAAUACAGAGGGUGCAAGCGUUAAUCGGAAUUACUGGGCGUAAAGCGCGCGUAGGUGGUUUGUUAAGUUGGAUGUGAAAUCCCCGGGCUCAACCUGGGAACUGCAUUCAAAACUGACUGACUAGAGUAUGGUAGAGGGGUGGUGGAAUUUCCUGUGUAGCGGUGAAAUGCGUAGAUAUAGGAAGGAACACCAGUGGCGAAGGCGACCACCUGGACUAAUACUGACACUGAGGUGCGAAAGCGUGGGGAGCAAAC